rnacentral:rRNA from 1 species
UACGUAGGGUGCAAGCGUUAAUCGGAAUUACUGGGCGUAAAGCGUGCGCAGGCGGUAAUGUAAGACAGGUGUGAAAUCCCCGGGCUUAACCUGGGAACUGCAUUUGUGACUGCAUUGCUGGAGUGCGGCAGAGGGGGAUGGAAUUCCGCGUGUAGCAGUGAAAUGCGUAGAUAUGCGGAGGAACACCGAUGGCGAAGGCAGGCUUCUGGGCUAUCACUGACGCUGAUCUGCGAAAGCUAGGGGAGCAAACAGG